rnacentral:rRNA from 1 species
GACGGAGGUGCCGAGCGUUAGGCGGAAUCACUGGGCUUAAAGCGUGUGUAGGCGGGUUGUUAAGUGUCUUGUGAAAUCCCCCGGCUCAACCGGGGAAUGGCUGGGCAUACUGGCGAUCUUGAGCAGUCUAGGGGCAGAUGGAACAAGUGGUGGAGCGGUGAAAUGCGUAGAUAUCACUUGGAACGCCAAAGGUGAAAACAGUCUGCUGGGGACUUGCUGACGCUCAGGUGCGAAAGCCAGGGGAGCGAACGGG